rnacentral:tRNA from 1 species
GCAGUGGUGGUUAGAAGGUAGAAUUCUUACCUUUCAUGUGGGAGACCUGGGUUCAAUUCCCGGCCAGUGCA